rnacentral:rRNA from 1 species
GAAUCUGGCCUCAGGACGGGGACAACGACUGGAAACGGUCGCUAAUACCCGAUGUGCCGAGAGGUGAAAUCUAAUUGGCCUGAGGAUGAGCUCGCGUCUGAUUAGCUAGUUGGUGGGGUAAAGGCUCACCAAGGCGACGAUCAGUAGCUGGUCUGAGAGGAUGAUCAGCCACACUGGGACUGAGACACGGCCCAGACUCCUACGGGAGGCAGCAGUGGGGAAUUUUCCGCAAUGGGCGAAAGCCUGACGGAGCAAGACCGCGUGAGGGACGAAGGUCUGUGGAUUGUAAACCUCUUUUGACAGGGAAGAAGUACUGACGGUACCUGUCGAAUCAGCCUCGGCUAACUCCGUGCCAGCAGCCGCGGUAAUACGGAGGAGGCAAGCGUUAUCCGGAAUUAUUGGGCGUAAAGCGUCCGUAGGUGGUUUAGUAAGUCUGCUGUCAAAGCACGGAGCUUAACUCUGUAAAGGCAGUGGAAACUACUAGGCUAGAGUGCGGUAGGGGCAGAGGGAAUUCCCAGUGUAGCGGUGAAAUGCGUAGAGAUUGGGAAGAACAUCGGUGGCGAAAGCGCUCUGCUGGGCCUGCACU